GUGUCCUGAGACACUCUGUCCUUGCACCUUCUGUAUGUGCUACAAUUCCUUGACCCUUGUGAAUAAUCGGGCAAAAAUCCAAGUGUGCUAAAUUCCUGGGCUUGGUCCUGGUGGACUUUAAAGGACAGUUGCUUUAGAUUAGUGCAUAUUAUAUUGCUGUAUAUUAAAAUUUCUUGAGGGACCUUCUCCGAAAUAAAAAUCUCUGGUUCCGCCACCAGAAUUUCAAAUAUAAUUUUUCUAGAUUGUGGCCUAAGUGUCAGUAUAUUUUUUUUUAAGUCCCUCAGAUUAUUCUAACUGUGCAUCCACAUUGAGAGCCACUUCCUGGGAUGAUUUUCAAAUCAAAAAGUGUGAUGCCAAGUUCCUACAAAACAUUAAGCCCAGCAGCAGGCACAGGGCCAAGCUGGACCAAUCGACCCUUCCUCACAGAUGCUGUGAAGAAAGACUCAUGGGGCAAAACUGGAGGCAUCUGAAGAGCGUCUCUUGGGGCCAAGACCCACAUGUCCCGGCAAGUUCCUAUUCCUCUUCUCUAUUCUCAGUUUCUGUGAUUAAUACCAUCUUCCCAAUAAAAUAUAUUUUCAUGUUAAUA
rnacentral:lncRNA from 1 species